ACAUCUAUGAGGAAAGUCCGAGCUCCGCAGGGCAGGAUAACGGCUAACGGCCGCCGGGGGUGACCCUCGGGAAAGUGCAACAGAGAUAUACCGCCGAUUUUUAUCGGUAAGGGUGGAAAGGCGAGGUAAGAGCUCACCGGCUUCUUUGGUAACAGGGAAGCCCUGUAAACCCUAUCCGGAGCAAUGUCGACCGAAGUGGUUUGCCCGACCCAUACUUCAACGGACAGCUGGAGCUGUACAGUAAUGUGCAGUCGAGAUAGAUAAUUACCUGAAAAACAGAACUCGGCUUACAGGCGCAGUU
rnacentral:RNase_P_RNA from 1 species